rnacentral:rRNA from 1 species
UACAUGUGGGGCAAGCGUUGUUCGGAAUUACUGGGCAUAAAGGGUGCGUAGGCGGCUUGUUAAGUCAGGGGUGAAAGUUUUCGGCCCAACCGGAAAAUUGCCUUUGAUACUGGCGAGCUUGAGUGCGUGAGGGAUGGGGGGAACGAGCAGUGUAGCGGUGAAAUGCGUAGAUAUCGGAAGGAACGCCGGUGGCGAAAGCGGCGUGCUGGACCUCUUCUGACGCUGAGGCGCGAAAGCCAGGGGAGCAAACGGG